AAAAAGAAAAAGCGAGAUUUGUACUUCUUUGUCACAUCUCACCGCCAGCGUCAUGGGUCGUGUGCGUGCUUUGUUAUUCGCUGCGUUGCUCUGUCUUGUGGUCGUCGGGAUAGACGCACAGUUUACAACUCCUAACAGUUGUACCAGCAGCAUAUGGUGUUUUGUUUGCCGUAUCUUUUUUGGGGGAACUUGCACAACCCAAUGCGUUUUUCCGAGUAGCAGG